AUAAAAAUAAUUUUAAUAUAAAUUAAAUUAUUUUAGUAUAAAUUUAGAAUAAAUUAAUUAAUUUAUAUUUUUAGUAUUGUAGAAGAAAAGAAUUUUUAUAGUUAAAAAGAUUAUAAGUAAAUUUAAUUUUUUGUACCUUUUGUAUCAGGGUUGAAUUAAAAUUAAUUUAUAAAUAUAAAUUUUCUCGAAAUAAAAAGAGUUAAUUUGAUAUUAUUUAUAAUGUAACAAAAUUAUAUUUUAUAUUAAAUUUGUAAUGAAAAGUUAUUCGAUUUUUUUGAUAUCUAGUUUUUUAAUAAUUAAAUUUAAUUUAGAUAAUUUUUUUUAUUAAUAAUUAAUUUAUUAAAAUUAUUAAUAUAAAAAUUAGUAAUAAAUUAUGGGAUUAACUAUAAUUUAUUAACAAAAAAAAAAUAAUUUAUAUUUAAAUAAAAUUUAAUAGAAUUAGAAUUUUUAAUUUUUAAUAAAAAUGUAAAAAUUUAGUUUUAUGGUUGAUUUAUAUAUUAAUUUAAAUAAAGUUUUGUGAAUUUAUUAAAAAAAAUUAUAUAAUAAAUUUGUUAAUAGUUAUAAUAUUUAAAUUAGUAUAAAAUUGAUUUAAGUAAAUUUAAUUAUAAUAAUUAUUUAAUUAAAUUUAAGGAAUUCGGCAAAAUUUAUAUUUACCUGUUUAAUAAAAACAUGUCUUUUAGAUUAAAAUUAAAAGUCUAAUCUGCCCAAUGAAUUAAAAAAUUUAAAUGGCUGCAGUAAAUUAACUGUACAAAGGUAGCAUAAUAAAUAGUUUCUUAAUUAGAAACUGGAAUGAAAGAUUGAAUAAAAUAUAAACUGUCUAAAAUUUAUUUAAUAAAAAUUAAAUUUUAAAUUAAAAUGUUUAAAUAUUUUUAAGGGACGAUAAGACCCUAUAGAUCUUUAUAAAGUUUUAAUAUAUAAUUAUUUUUAUUAAAUAAAUUUUAUAUAUUAGUUUUAUUUAACUGGGGUUGUAAAAAAAUUUAAUUAAAUUUUUUAAUUGAUUUACAUUAAUUAAUGAUUUUAUAAGAAUAUAAGUUAUAUAUAAAGUAAAAUAAGUUACCUUAGGGAUAACAGCGUAAUAAUCUUUAAUAGUUCAUAUUAAAAAGAUUGAUUGCGACCUCGAUGUUGAAUUAAAAUAAAAUAUAAGAGUAGAUUUUUAUUAUUUAGGUCUGUUCGACCUUUAAAAUUUUACAUGAUUUGAGUUUAGAUCGGCGUAAGCCAGAUCAGUUUCUAUCUUUAAAUUUUAAAAUAAUUAUUUUUGUACGAAAGGACUUUAUAAUUAGAUUUUAUUAAUUUUAUUAUUAAUUAAAUGAUAUAUGUAUUUAUUAAUAAAAAAAGAUGUUUAAAAAUUAUAAUUAUUUUUAAUAGUAA
rnacentral:rRNA from 1 species